AGAACGAACGCUGGCGGCGUGGAUAAGACAUGCAAGUCGAACGAGUGAGGGUCAGCAAUGAUCUUCGCUAGUGGCAAACGGGUGAGUAAUACGCAAUUUACAUUCCACUGAGUUUAGGAUAACAGAAAGAAAUUUUUGCUAAUACUAAAUAAUGCGAGAGCUAAAAGGCUUCGGUCGCUUAGUGAUUGGAUUGCGGCCUAUCAGCUAGUUGGUGGGGUAACGGCCCACCAAGGCUUCAACGGGUAGCUGGUCUGAGAGGACGGUCAGCCACACUGGAACUGAGACACGGUCCAGACACCUACGGGUGGCAGCAGUCGAGAAUCUUUCACAAUGGGGGAAACCCUGAUGGAGCGACGCCGCGUGGAGGUUACGGUCUUCGGAUCUUAAACUCCUGUCAUGCGAGAAAAAUAUGAUUGUAUCGCAAGAGGAAGAGGCGGCUAACUCUGUGCCAGCAGCCGCGGUAAUACAGAGGCCUCAAGCGUUGUUCGGAAUUAUUGGGCGUAAAGGGCACGAAGGUUGUGUUGUAAGUCGAACUGUGAAAUAUAGGUGCUCAACAUCUGUGCGCAGCCGAUACUGCAAUGCUAGAGUUCUACACAGGGAAUAGGAAUUUACGGUGUAGCAGUGAAAUGCGUGGAUAUCGUAAGGAACACCAAAGGCGAAGGCAUAUUCCUGGUGAGUUACUGACACUCAAGUGCGAAGGCUAGGGGAGCAAAUGGGAUUAGAUACCCCGGUAGUCCUAGCUGUAAACGGUGCAUGCUUGGUGUGUGUUUUUCAAUAUACGUGCCGAAGCUAACGCGAUAAGCAUGCCG
rnacentral:rRNA from 1 species